rnacentral:rRNA from 1 species
GUGAACGCUGGCGGUAGGCCUACACAUGCAAGUCGAACGGCAGCACAGUAAGAGCUUGCUCUUACGGGUGGCGAGUGGCGGACGGGUGAGGAAUACAUCGGCAUCUACUUUUUCGUGGGGGAUAACGUAGGGAAACUUACGCUAAUACCGCAUACGACCUACGGGUGAAAGCAGGGGAUCUUUGGACCUUGCGCGAUUGAAUGAGCCGAUGUCGGAUUAGCUAGUUGGCGGGGUAAAGGCCCACCAAGGCGACGAUCCGUAGCUGGUCUGAGAGGAUGAUCAGCCACACUGGAACUGAGACACGGUCCAGACUCCUACGGGAGGCAGCAGUGGGGAAUAUUGGACAAUGGGCGCAAGCCUGAUCCAGCCAUACCGCGUGGGUGAAGAAGGCCUUCGGGUUGUAAAGCCCUUUUGUUGGGAAAGAAAAGCAGCAGGUUAAUACCCCGCUGUUCUGACGGUACCCAAAGAAUAAGCACCGGCUAACUUCGUG